UAUUAAUAAUUUAAUGCAUUUAUAUUAUUAAAGACUGACGUGGUUGAUGGAAUAAUCAAAUAGUGACGUGGUGUCUUAUAUGCACCUUAUGUUGAUGUAUAGUGACUAGUUUUUAACAGUAAAAAUUAAUAAUUUUUUUAACA
rnacentral:pre_miRNA from 1 species